rnacentral:lncRNA from 1 species
AUGCUCCGUCCAUUCAAUUCCAAUUCCCAAUUCCAUCCCCAUCCCAUCCCAUCCCAUCCCCUCCCAUUCAAUCCCAUCCCAAUCCCACCCCAUCCCAUUCCCAUCCCAUCCCAUCCCCAUCCCUAUCCCACCCAUUCAUCCAAUCCCAUCAUCCAAUCCAUCCCAUCUCAAUCCCAUCCCAUCCCAUCCCAAUCCCAUCCCAAUCCCAUUCCUCCCAUCCCAUCCCGAUCCCAAUCCCUAUCCCAUCCCUAUCCCUCCCCAUCCCCAUCCAUCCUCCAUCCCCAUCCCCAACAUCCCAUUCCCAUCCCAUCCCAUUCCAUCGCCAUCCAGUCCAUCCCAAUCCCAUCCUAUUCCCAUCCCUCUCCAUUCACCCACCCCCAUCCCCAUCCCAUCGCCAUCCCAUCCAUCUCCAUUCUCCAUCCCCCCCCCAUCCCCAUCCAUCCCAUCCCCAUCCCAUCCCAUCCCAUCCCAUCUCCAUCUCCAUCCCCACCCCCAUCCCCAUCCCAUCCCAUCCAUCCACAUCUCCUAUCUCAAUCCACUGUCCCAUCCCAUCCCAUCCCGUCCAAUUCCAAUUCCAAUUCCAAUCCCAUCCCCAUCCCAUCCCAUCCCAUUUCCAUCCCAUUCAAUCCCCAUCCCAUCCCACCCCAUCCCAUUUCCAUCUCCAUCCCCAUCCCCAUCCCCAUCUCCAUCCCCAUCCCCAUCCCAUCCCAUCCCAUCCCCAUCCCCAUCGCGCCCCGGCAUCGCCGCCGGCUCCAUCCGCCGAAGGCGCGAAACGUGUCGCGCAUGCGCCGAGUCUCAGAGCGGGCCCCUUUGGCGCCGCCGCUGCGCCGUGUUCCGCCGUUGCUGCUGCGCACGGGCGGCAGCGUUUGGCGCGGGGAGGGCCGUGAUGACGCGCUGCGUGUCGCCAGCCGCGCGACCCACGCAGCGUCCGCCGGGCGCGUGCCUCCUCCUGGGCCAGCGCGAUCGGGGCUGCUCCGGGCGGGGGCGGGCGGGGCGAAGGCUCAGUCCUCCUCCCUCCCUGUCCUCCUCCCUCUCCUCCUCCUCCUCCUCCUCCUCCUCGGCUCCCCUCGCCGAGGGCCCGGCCCCUUCCCUCCGCGGAGCGGGGCCGUGCGGCGGCGCCUCCUCCUGCUGCCGGCUGUGCCGGACAAUAGGGGCGAGCGCGGCGCCCGUCUCCCCCGGCCUCGCUUACAUGAGCGGCGCCGGGCUCCGGGGCUGACAGCGGUUCCCUCCGAGGCCGAAGGAGCGGCCGCCGGCUCCGGGCCGGGACUCGCCGCCUCGGGCACCGCAGCGCCGUCCCGCUCCUCCGCCCCCCUACCCCCCCCCUUCGCCCUCCCCCCCUCGCUGCCGGCGGCGGCUCCUGCCGGGCUUUGGCGGCGGCGGCGGACAAAGGCGCGGGGCCCGGCGCGGCCCGGCCCGGCCCCCCGGGGGGUGCGCGGGCGGUGA